GCGCCGGUGGGGCGCCCGCACGGGGCUGCUCUCCGCCGAGCGGCUGCGCUGAAUGAGGGAACCGGAGGAGCCGCCGCCGCCAGGCUGGACUCCAUGUCCUUCUUGAGGUCUGGAGAACACCUCCUACGCGCACCCCUCUGCAGUGGCACCCCUGCCCUCAUGACAGGGGUCAUCAAGGUCUCAGUGACAAUGAAGCAGCCUCUGGAGUCUGACUACC